GCUCAUGCGCCGAAUAAUAGACCUUAGUUUAGGUAUUGGGGCCAAAGGAUGGAUGACCAUUUCAAACGAUCCAGGCUAAGCCAGGAGGAGAGCUCAAAGUCUGAUCUGGUACGUUGCAAGGAUCGAGGGACAGAGCGUGCAGCAAGUGGCCAAUGAAUAGAAGUCUGGUUUUCUGAGCAUCCUUGCAGCUGCAGGCUUCAGUCUACCAGAGAAUGUGAGGUGUUAUUCUUCUAGGGCAGUGGUUAGAAAAGAAAAUGAAAGUAGCAGUACUCUUUUCCUAAUGCAACCAUAGAUGAUCAGAAUUUGUAAUCCAUAAGGUAGAAGCUGCUGUGCCUGAAGAAAUAGAAAGUGGGCAGAGGUGGAGGGGCAAGAGCAGGAGGUGACCAAUCUUGGAAAUAAGGAAGGGAGAGAGGCAGCCAAGCCAGCAGCUCCUAGGAUUAGUCACUGCCUGGAGCCAGCUCUUGGAAGUUCCCCAGGAGCUGUCCAGUCUUAUGUCAUGUCUAGUCAGCAGAGUCCCAAAGAAGCUUGUCAUUCUCUAGGCAUUUGUGCUUACAUUCUGAUGGGCCUAAUAGCAGGGAGAUGACAUGGAGCCCAGGCAGAACUGCUGAGAUUUCUACUGGUCAUGACCUCCAUCUUCUCCUUCACACCUUUCCUACCUUUCUUUUUUCAUGCAUUCAACAGACAUUUAUUACCCAAUAAGUGCCAGGUAGUAAGCGAGGACCUGGGGAGAGCAGAUGAGUAAGACACCGUCUCUGUCUCUCAGGAGCUCUCAGAUUCUUAGGGACACAUGUACAUCCUAAUAAACACAGUGCAUCUCA
ensembl:lncRNA novel transcript